GGUGAGAUGGCUGAGUUGGUCGAAAGCAGCACAUUGCUAACGUGUCGUUCUCAAAAGGAACCCAGGGUUCGAAUCCCUGUCUCACCG
rnacentral:tRNA from 1 species